rnacentral:lncRNA from 1 species
UAACGAUUUCGAAACUUUCCAGUUGACAAUCAUUUAACCUAAAUUUUCCAUUUUAGCUCAAUGUAAGUUGAGGAGUCGAAGACAAACUCUAUAAAACGAUCUUGAAACCUCAAUAAUUUGAAUGCACCACUUUAAGAGAAAGCAAUUAGGAUAAUUGAUGCAAAUUACAUUGUAAAUAGCAUGAAAUGCAUGAAUUAUAUUGGUCAAAUGCGUAACGUGAAGUUUGGGGGAUUACAUCCUUCACUCCUUAUAAAAAUUUCGUCCUCGAAAUUUGCUUACCCAAAAAGUUCAGGAUAUUUGACCCGCAUUUUAUCUUCUCUUUUCCAUGUGGCCUUUUCUGUUGACUGAUUCCACCACAAUACCUUGACCAAUGGAAUUUUCUUGCUUCUAUGUUUCUUUACCUCUUGUUGAAGAAUCUCUAUCGAUUUUUCGUCAUAAGGCAAAUCUGAUUUUAUCUCCAUCGAUUCAUUCCUCAAUACAUGAGAAGGAUUUAUAAUGUAUUCUCAUAGAAUGGACACACGAAACAUAUUAUGCUCUUGACACAUCGAUGAAAGAAUGAUGUGAAACCACGUAGCAGUGGUAGCUACCAAACCCUCAACAAGAUUAUGAUCGGAUCCCAAGAAUGCCAAUAAGUAAGGUUUUGGAUUUAACCCAAAACUUAUAA